UUUUAAUUCUCUCAGCCUUGAAAAUAGCACUUUUCCAAGACGAUUUCCUUGAGAAAGGCAUUUGUCCGUACUGUAAAUGGACACUGAAGAGACCUGCGGUUUGGUUUAGGUUUUCUCUGUGCAUCACGCACACAGACCGGGAGCUCCGCGAAGGAGGAGAGCCUGCGUGUGCACGCGUCUGUGGAACGCUCCGCAGCCAGCUGAACUCCUGGCACAGACACGGUACCUACUGCGCAAGCGCAUAAAACUAGAUACAGCUUCAUUAUCGCUACGGCACCCGGUGACAUCGCCUGUGGCCCUUUAAAAUAAUUAAUAAACCUCUGAUUGUGCUCAUUUCCAAACCUCGGGAUGACCGGAAGACAGAGAUCUUGCCACUCCGCCGUGUACCCGCACGUCUAAUGGAGCAGAAGCGGGACUUCAGGGAUGGCCCCCAGCGCUCUCCUGCCCCUCCGAGGCCGGCCCACCUCCCUGGCUGGGAGCUCGAGGACCAUGUCAGCGCCACUGAGUUCACCUCCUCCAGCUACAGCUCCCGACCCACUUCCACUGCCAGCCCUCACCCCUCCACGGCUCCCCCUGCACGAUCCAGGCACUUCUAACAAGCGUAAUUCGGGGAGGGGAGAGAACAUUUACGAAAAAGCACGAAGACUUAGGUUGACAACGUCUGACAACUUAACUUUUUCUUUAAGUGAAAAAAUGAUAAAGAAGCCUCCUGCCCUCUUUCUCUGUUGGUCCAUCAGAGGGUUUUCCAGAGCGUUGGGACCCGUCACCAUUGUCAACGGCCCCUUCUGAAAGCCGUAUGCACCUGCUCUCGCUGGGCUCCAUCUUCGAAAAUAAGAUCCAUAAUGAACCACCCUCAGACUCAAGGAAGAAUAGACCUGAUCAGACGCGGGGCAUAGUACACUCAAGAUAUUUUUCCGUCUUCACUUAAAUGAACUUACUAU